rnacentral:rRNA from 1 species
CCUCAGGUUUUUGGAGGAAGGUUCGUCCGCUCCAAGUUAGUCGGGAGCUAAGGUGAGGCCGGAAGGCGUAGCCGAUGCACAGACGGUAGAGAUUCCGUCACCACCAAAAGAGUUAAGCACAGGGACACAUUUGAAGUCUCAGAGCCGGGUGUUGGUUCCGGUAGAGAUCGAGGGAAAUUAGUACCGAAGUCUGAGAUGGAAGAUGGCGAGAAAAGCUGUGUGUAUUUCUGAGGUGCCCGUACCGCAAACCGACACAGGUAGGUAGGAAGAAGAUUCUAAGGCCAACGGGAGAAGGGUUGUUAAGGAACUCGGCAAAUUGACCCCGUAACUUCGGGAGAAGGGGUGCUCCAGAGAUGGAGCCGCAGAGAAUCGGCCCAAGCAACUGUUUACCAAAAACACAGGUUUGUGCUAAAUCGAAAGAUGACGUAUACGAGCUGACGCCUGCCCGGUGCUGGAAGGUUAAGAGGAGAUGUGCAAGCAUUGAAUCGAAGCCCCAGUGAACGGCGGCCGUAACUAUAACGGUCCUAAGGUAGCGAAAUUCCUUGUCAGGUAAGUUCUGACCCGCACGAAAGGCGUAAUGAUUUGGGCACUGUCUCAACAGCCCGCCCGGCGAAAUUGUAGUACCGGUGAAGAUGCCGGUUACCCGCGACAAGACGGAAAGACCCCAUGGAGCUUUACUGUAGCCUAAUAUUGGGUUUCGAUGUUGCAUGCACAGGAUAGAUGGGACACUGGGAAACAAUCGCUUUGGCGGUUGCGGAGUGGCCGUUGGGAUACCAUCCUUGCGAUAUUGGAAUUCUAACCUGCGGCUCUGAAUCGAGUCGGGGGACAUUGUUAGGUGGGCAGUUUGACUGGGGCGGUCGCCUCCUAAAGAGUAACGGAGGCGUUCAAAGGUUCGCUCAGCUUGAACGGAAAUCAAGCAAAAGAGUGCAAACGCAGAAGCGAGCCUAACUGCGAGACUGACGGGUCGAGCAGUAACGAAAGUUGGAGUUAGUGAUCCGGUGGUAUGUGAGUGGAAAUGCCAUCGCUCAACGGAUAAAAGUUACCCUGGGGAUAACAGGCUGAUCUCCCCCAAGAGUCCACAUCGACGGGGAGGUUUGGCACCUCGAUGUCGGCUCAUCGCAUCCUGGGGCUGUAUUCGGUCCCAAGGGUUUGGCUGUUCGCCAAUUAAAGCGGUACGCGAGCUGGGUUCAGAACGUCGUGAGACAGUUCGGUCCCUAUCUGUCGUGGGCGCAGGAUAUUUGAUGGGAGCUGUUCCUAGUACGAGAGGACCGGAGCGGACGUACCUCUGGCGCACCAGUUGUUCUGCCAAGAGCAUAGCUGGGCAACUAUGUACGGAUCGGAUAAACGCUGAAAGCAUCUAAGCGUGAAGCCGACCCAAAGAUAAGAUAUCCCACUGAUUCGAUCAGGUAAGAUCCCUUGAAGACUACAAGGUUGAUAGGCACAAUGUGUAAGUGGAGUGAUCCAUUCAGCAAGCGUGUACUAAUAGAUCGAGGGCUUGACCAC